rnacentral:rRNA from 1 species
AAACUCAAAGGAAUUGACGGGGAGCACCACAACAGGUGGAGCCUGCGGUUUAAUCGGACUCAACGCCGGGAAUCUCACCGGAUAAGACAGCUGGAUGAUAGCCGGGCUGAAGACUCUGCUUGACUAGCUGAGAGGAGGUGCAUGGCCGUCGUCAGUUCGUACUGUGAAGCAUCCUGUUAAGUCAGGCAACGAGCGAGACCCACGCCCACAGUUGCCAGCGUACUCUCUGGAGUGACGGGUACACUGUGGGGACCGCCGCUGCUAAAGCGGAGGAAGGAAUGGGCAACGGUAGGUCAGUAUGCCCCGAAUAUCCCGGGCUACACGCGAGCUACAAUGGUUGGUACAAUGGGUAUCUACCCCGAAAGGGGACGGGAAUCUCCUAAAACCAAUCUUAGUUCGGAUUGAGGGCUGCAACUCGCCCUCAUGAAGCUGGAAUCCGUAGUAAUCGCGUUUCAACAGAACGCGGUGAAUACGUCCCUGCUCCUU